AGGGGGCUAGUCCAAAAUAAGACCUCUGAUUUCGGCUCAGAAAAUUAUGGUUUGAGUCCAUAGCCCCCUU
rnacentral:tRNA from 2 species